rnacentral:rRNA from 1 species
UACGGAGGGUGCAAGCGUUAUCCGGAUUCACUGGGUUUAAAGGGUGCGUAGGCGGAUUGGUAAGUCCGUGGUGAAAUCCCCGAGCUUAACUUGGGAACUGCCGUGGAUACUAUCGAUCUUGAAUACUGUGGAGGUAAGCGGAAUAUGUCAUGUAGCGGUGAAAUGCUUAGAUAUGACAUAGAACACCAAUUGCGAAGGCAGCUUACUACACAGUUAUUGACGCUGAGGCACGAAAGCGUGGGGAUCAAACAGG